CUCUAAAGCUUGCCAGCAGGUACCUGAUGCUCGGUCUUUACCUGUUGACAAAUCAGACACUGAGCCACAAAUCUGCCAAUAUCCCUAUUCAUUUCGUUCCACCAGAACUGUGCCUUCAAAUCCUUAUACAUCUUGGUUCCACCAGAGUGAACCGUAUAAGGAGCACAACGAGCCUCUCUCAAAAUAUCCGCUCGGAUCUCUGAAUCCAUAGGCACACACAGUCGGUUCCUGUACCGCAGUACUCCCGAACUGUCUACUACAAAGCCCUCAGCCUGUCCCCUGUCAACUGCUCUCGAAUCCUCAACAA
rnacentral:lncRNA from 1 species